rnacentral:rRNA from 1 species
UGCUCUGAUGUUAGCGGCGGACGGGAUGAGUAACACGGUGGAUAACCUACCUAUAAGACUGGGAUAACUUCGUCGGAAACCGGAGCUAAUACCGGAUAAUAUUUUGAACCGCAUGGUUCAAAAAGUUGAAAGACGGUCUUGCUGACUUAUAGAAUGGAUCCGCGCUGCAUUAGCUAGUUGGUAAGGUAACGGCUUACCAAGGCAACGAUGCAUAGCCGACCUGAGAGGGUGAUCGGCCACACUUGGAACUGAGACACGGUCCAGACUCCUACGGGAGGCAGCAGUAGGGAAUCUUCCGCAAUGGGCGAAAGCCUGACGGGAGCAACGCCGCGUGAGUGAUGAAGGUCUUCGGAUCGUGAAAACUCUGUUAUUAGGGAAGAACAUAUGUAAGUAAGUAACUGUGCACAUCUUGACGGUACCUAAUCAGGCCACGGCUAACUACGUGCCAGCAGCCGCGGUAAUACGUAGGUGGCAAGCGUUAUCCGGAAUUAUUGGGCGUAAAGCGCGCGUAGGCGGUUUUUUAAAGUCUGAUGUGAAAGCCCACGGCUCAACCGUGGAGGGUCAUUGGAAACUGGAAAACUUGAGUGCAGAAGAGGAAAGUGGAAUUCCAUGUGUAGCGGUGAAAUGCGCAGAGAUAUGGAGGAACACCAGUGGCGAAGGCGACUUUCUGCGUCUGUAACUGACGCUGAUGUGCGAAAGCGUGGGGAUCUCCAAACAGGAUUAGAUACCCUGGUAGUCCACGCCGUAAACGAUGAGUGCUAAGUGUUAGGGGGUUUCCGCUUAGUGCUGCAGCUAACGCAUUAAGCACUCCGCCUGGGGAGUACGACCGCAAGGUUGAAACUCAAAGGAUUGACGGGGACCGCACAAGGCGGUGGAGCAUGUGGUUUAAUUCGAAGCAACCGCGAAGAAACCUUACCAAAUCUCUUGACAUCCUUUGACAACCG